rnacentral:tRNA from 1 species
ACCUGGGUGGCUCAGUUGGUAGAGUGUCUGCUUUCAACUCAGAUCAUGAUCCCUAGGUC